rnacentral:lncRNA from 1 species
AAACUAUUAUAUGAAUAAAUAUUAUAGCACCUUAAUUGAAUUGGUCGAUAUGCUGGUAACUAAGGGAUCUUGAAAAGUUCAGAGGUACAAAUCUGAAGAACCUAAAGAAUUAUUUACAUACUUUUGGAAAGUAUGUCGAAUUGCUCAAAUUGAUCUUAUGAUUUUCUCUUUUUUAUUAGACUCUAGUGUAUAUUACACACUUUAAUAUAAGGUCUA